rnacentral:lncRNA from 10 species
CACGCAAUGGCUGAAAGCUUUUCUGUUUUGGGAUGUGGCUUUACCUGCCCGCCCCUUCCCCCUCCCCCACGUGGUGCAGCGCCAGAGACCCAAGUUGAGGAACAGCCUAUAAAAUAACUGGCCUGUACUCUUACAUACAUGAAAGCCAUCAAAGACAAAGACUGAAGAAGAACUUUUGCAGAUUAAAGGACUUUAAGAGACAUGAUCCUGAACCAGAAAAAGUAAAAAAUAAAAAAAUAAAAAGAUCUGUAGAUUAGAUAAUAGUUUUAUAUCCAUGUUAAUUUCCCAUUUGUUGUAAUAUUACUGUGGUUGGGCAAGAGAGUGUCUUUGUUGGUGGAAGUAUCUACUGAAGUAUUUAGGGGUAAAGAGGAAUCAUGUCUGUAACUUAUGCUCAAAAGGUUCAGACAAAAUAUAUGUAAAGGGAAUGAUAAAGCAAACGCAAUAAAAUGUUAACAUUGGGGAAUCUGUAUAAGGGAAUUAUUAACUUUUCUGUAAGUCUAAAAUUAUUUCAAAUUAAAAAUAAUUUUUUUAAGCCU